rnacentral:rRNA from 1 species
UGGCGGACGGGUGAGUAAUGUCUGGGAAACUGCCCGAUGGAGGGGGAUAACUACUGGAAACGGUAGCUAAUACCGCAUAACGUCGCAAGACCAAAGAGGGGGACCUUCGGGCCUCUUGCCAUCGGAUGUGCCCAGAUGGGAUUAGCUAGUAGGUGGGGUAACGGCUCACUUAGGCGACGAUCCCUAGCUGGUCUGAGAGGAUGACCAGCCACACUGGAACUGAGACACGGUCCAG